CCUCCCUCCCUCCUUCACAUGGUGUCAUUCUGCUACUUUUUAGGCUCUACCCAAGAUCAUCGCUCAAAAGACUGAUUGCACUAUCCCAGCAGAAAACCAUCUGAAAUUGCCGCAUGGAGAGGCCUGAUAUAUGUUGCAGCUACAGCAAGGGAGAAGUGAAGGAGCAGCUGGAUGGAGCUUACAUGCUGUCUGGUGCUCAACCAUGACAUCACAUACUGAGAAAGCUUACUUUAGGUUUGAAAAUAUCCUGGGACCUUGGAAUUUGUUUGGGGCCUUGGAAUUCAUUUGCUGGAAUCCCUUUCUGCAGCCAUACUACUUGAUUCUAGGAAGGAUUUUGAGAAAAUAAGAUAAUGUUAUUCACAUAGAGCCUUUGAAAUAUUUUUUGUAGGGAACAGAAUAUUGAUUGUGUCAGCAUCACUCAC